AGGCCGGCUUUAGUUCAGCAGUUACUUCGACAAUGCUUUCUAUAGUGGAAAACAACACUCUGCGUGGUUCAAGACCCGUGGGCGCUCUCUGGCCCUUUA
rnacentral:vault_RNA from 1 species